rnacentral:lncRNA from 1 species
GAAUGUUCCUUGCUGCAGAUGCAUUGGCCCCAUCUGCAGGUCCUCUUUGACACCUACCUUACUCUCUCCCUCCACUCACACUCUGAGAACUGUGCUCAGGGGCAGCGCUACAACUUCCACAUUGGUCUUUACAGGGCUUGAGUGAUUAUUUCAAGAACAGAACGCUGUGUGGAAACCUUUACCAUAUUUCGUUGUAUCUAAGACACAUUUUUUUUUUUUGAAAUUUAACAUCUCUAAGGUUGGGUUAUGUUUCUUCAUCAUUGUCAGGUUGGAGCUUAAUCAGCAGCACUUUUUUUUAAUGUCACACACAGUAAUGGUGAUGCAUCUCACAAUUGAGAUCAUCUUAGACAUGAUGGAAUAUGGAAUCGUGUGCCUGUUACAAGCCAGGCUCUUGUCUGGGUUCUAGAGACGGUGGAAACCAAGACAGCACCAUCCUCUAGUGGUGUUCACAUCCCACCACAGUGGAGUCAGGACUUUGAAGUCCUCCAUUGGAUCUUCUCGGAAGAUGAGGGAAAUGAGAGAGUGUGGAGAGAGAUUUUGUAAGUCCGGUCUGGAAGUGGUCAUUGUUCAGAAUCCAGCCACGUGGGUACAUGGAACUGUAAGCUGUCUCUUAGCGAAGAAUAAAACUGUGGACUGACCCCCACCCAUUUGCGAAGAAAGUACUGGGUCUUCAGCUUUCAUUGUUCAGCCGGUGGUCUUUGUGGACAACACCAGGGGCCCCUCCUGCUGAAGACUGUCUGGACUUCCUGAUUUUCACUCCUGUAUAAACCCCCUCCCCCAUUACUACCUUUGUCUCCUUGGGGAAAAAAAAUGUUUUUCACUUAAGCAAAAUAAUAACUACCCAGUAUUUGUUUCUGGAGUGAAAUUGUAAACUUCAUUGUACAUUCUUCCUGGCUUUGAUGCUUAUCGUGAAGAGUUCAGUGAAAAUAAAUUGUUUUUAUGAAAGCAGA